rnacentral:rRNA from 1 species
ACGGGUGAGUAACGCGUGGGAAUCUACCGUACCCUACGGAAUAGCUCUGGGAAACUGGAAGUAAUACCGUAUACGCCCGUAAGGGGAAAGAUUUAUCGGGGUAUGAUGAGCCCGCGUUGGAUUAGCUAGUUGGUGGGGUAAAGGCCUACCAAGGCGACGAUCCAUAGCUGGUCUGAGAGGAUGAUCAGCCACAUUGGGACUGAGACACGGCCCAAACUCCUACGGGAGGCAGCAGUGGGGAAUAUUGGACAAUGGGCGCAAGCCUGAUCCAGCCAUGCCGCGUGAGUGAUGAAGGUCUUAGGAUUGUAAAGCUCUUUCAACGGUGAAGAUAAUGACGGUAACCGUAGAAGAAGCCCCGGCUAACUUCGUGCCAGCAGCCGCGGUAAUACGAAGGGGGCUAGCGUUGUUCGGAAUUACUGGGCGUAAAGCGCACGUAGGCGGGUAUUUAAGUCAGGGGUGAAAUCCCGCAGCUCAACUGCGGAACUGCCUUUGAUACUGGGUAUCUUGAGUAUGGAAGAGGUAAGUGGAAUUGCGAGUGUAGAGGUGAAAUUCGUAGA